rnacentral:rRNA from 1 species
UGGGAAGAAAGUUGUGAAAGCAACCUGACGGUACCAGAGGAAUCAGCAUCGGCUAACUCCGUGCCAGCAGCCGCGGUAAGACGGAGGAUGCAAGCGUUAUCCGGAAUGAUUGGGCGUAAAGCGUCCGCAGGUGGCAGUUCAAGUCUGCUGUCAAAGACCGGGGCUUAACUUCGGAAAGGCAGUGGAAACUGAACAGCUAGAGUAUGGUAGGGGCAGAGGGAAUUCCUGGUGUAGCGGUGAAAUGCGUAGAGAUCAGGAAGGAACACCAGUGGCGAAGGCGACCACCUGGGCUCAUACUGACA